GUGAAAAACUCAAAUUAUGUGUGAACUCCUCCCUGAUAAUGCAGACUUCAGGGUACAUCUGGUGGAUAUGUGAAUGCACCCCCUCCAUUCCAGAGGAGAUGCAAGUUAAAGGGCUUUAAAAGGCCCAUGUGAAAAACUUCCUGGGAGAGAACGAUGAAAAUACCCAUUUGACAACAAAGCCAGCUGGGAGUGAGGGUGGCCAGAGCUUGGGUGGGGGAAGGGCAGAAGGCAAGUCAGACAGCUCCCAGGGGCUGAGCGGCUUGGAUUGAUUGAAUCCAUCUACCCAAUUAUAGCUCCACCCUGCAUUGCAGGUUCUUUCGCACCAAGGCUUUCUGGAACCAGAGGAUUGUACCAGAAGCUCUAUACCCUCCUUUGGGUUUAACCCUGGUGCUUAUAUUUGCCAGUGUCAAUUCUGGAGGGGGCUGCACAGAAUCCUGAACCGGGCUGCAGCUGGCCCAGACUAUCAUUCAGGAGGACAGCGGCGGGUUUGGAGGAGCUCUCACAACCGCCACUGCCACCACUACCUCUGAUUUCUCUAGCGCUUCCUCGCUGCCUCCACUUAAAGGUAUGGUUCAAAACCGCAUGUUGGCACACUUGGCUGUGUAGUUUCUAUUCUGAUCCAGCAGCCCCUUGCAGCAUAGCAUUAGGAGGUUUUCCAUGCAUUCUCUAUCUGCAAUUUGUCUAAGAAAGGGAGGUAGGUUGAUGACAGCUGAAGAAGACUGUAUUUGCUGAAGAGCAGCAUGAUGGUAGAGAGGAGCGGGGUUCCUGAGGGAGAUCUAAUGGUGCCUCUCCUUCCUGCACAGAGAUAAAGACUUAUAAUAAGCGUGUAUGUUCACCAUCUGGCUCUGUGCAUGUGGUCCUUAUGGAGGCGAAAGCAGCACAAUCUGUAAAUGAUCAGGAGCCAUAGCACUCUCUCCAGAGAAUCCACGAUGCAAUCAAGGUGACAGAUGGCAUGGCCACUGCUGUGGCCUCAUGGAGAAGAUCAAAAUCACCUUCAAUAAACUCUGACUGAAAUGGG